rnacentral:rRNA from 1 species
CCUACGGGAGGCAGCAGUGGGGGAUAUUGCACAAUGGAGGAAAGCCUGAUGCAGCAACGCCGCGUGAAGGAAGACGGCUUUCGGGUUGUAAACUUCUUUUAAGGGGGAAGAGCAUAAGACGGUACCCCUUGAAUAAUCCACGGCUAACUACGUGCAAGCCGCCGCGGUAAUACGUAGGUGGCAAGCGGUGUCCGGAUUUACUGGGUGUAAAGGGCGUGCAGCCGGGGAGAAAAGUCAGAUGUGAAAUCCACGGGCUCAACCCGUGAACUGCAUUGGAAAUUGUUUCCCUUGAGUGUCGGAGAGGUAAGCGGAAUUCCUAGUGUAGCGGUGAAAUGCGUAGAUAUUAGGAAGAACACCAGUGGCGAAGGCGGAUUACUGGACGAUAACUGACGGUGAGGCGCGAAAGCGUGGGGAGCAAACAGGAUUAGAUACCCGAGUAGUC